rnacentral:Y_RNA from 1 species
AGCUGGUCUGAAGGUAAUGAAUUACCUUAUAGAUUGUUUAUAGUCAAUUACAAAUCAAACUCCUUGUUCUAUUCUUCCCCCCUUUCUCAUUACUGUAGUUGAUUAGGCUUGAA